UACGAAGGGUGCAAGCGUUACUCGGAAUUACUGGGCGUAAAGCGUGCGUAGGUGGUGAGUUAAGUCUGUCGUGAAAGCCCCGGGCUCAACCUGGGAAUGGCGAUGGAUACUGGCUCGCUAGAGUGCGGUAGAGGAGAGUGGAAUUCCCGGUGUAGCAGUGAAAUGCGUAGAUAUCAGGAGGAACACCAAUGGCGAAGGCAGCUCGCUGGGACGUGACUGACGCUGGAGACGCGAAAGCGUGGGGAGCAAACAGG
rnacentral:rRNA from 1 species